rnacentral:rRNA from 1 species
CCUGCACCUGCCGGCGACCGGCGCACGGGUGAGUAACACGUAUGGAACCUGCCCGCCACAGGGGGAUAACCCGGGGAAACCCGGCCUAAUACCCCAUGCCGCCCGGACCGGGCAUCCGGUCCGGGCGAAAGGAGGAAUCCGGUGGCGGCUGGGCAUGCGGCGCAUUAGCUUGACGGCGGGGUAACGGCCCACCGUGGCGACGAUGCGCAGGGGUUCUGAGAGGAAGGCCCCCCACACUGGAACUGAGACACGGUCCAGACUCCUACGGAAGGCAGCAG